rnacentral:lncRNA from 1 species
UGGGUGGGCGGUUUUACCCCGUCGCUAAAAAAAAUCGUGAUAAGACAACACUUUUUCAAGCACCAAGAAAACAAUUAGUUUUUACAAAUAUAACACCUGUGAUAUAUUUUGAUCAUGCCUACACUGAGCCAAUUAAUCCUAUUAUAUUUAUCUGGAAAAUCAUAUACACGCAUCAGAAUUCAUAUUUGAUAGGUUUUAUUAACACCCAAUAAAGACUAUAUGAAGGUCCAACGAGGUUUAAAUAAUAACCAUAUGGAAGCCGUUUGAAUUUCACAUAUAACUUAUUGGAUAUCGUUUACCCAUUCGGUAAUUGAAAAAUCAGAUACAUGUUAUAUGAUUUUAUAUUGUGAAAACAAAUCUGUUUAUAUUUAGUACUACGAUGGCGGCCACUGCAUACAAUCUGGUCGCAGAUUUUGGUUUAACGACGAGCUUUUGCAAAUUUAUAACGAAUGUGAAACCAUUAUUGCGAGCAUUUACCUUGCUCGCUGAAGAAAUUCGCUGCUCAUUCUAUACAACUGAGAACUUUCUAAAGUUCUGUUUGACGAUAUCUAGGUGAGAUGUUUUAUUCGGCAGUUAGUUUUGUGCUUAAAUUUUGUUAACAUGGUUCCAUUGUUUUAGAUUUUUAUACCGACCAUCCUACAACAAAAAUAACUUUGCUUCAGGUUCCAGUAGUAACUAUGAGAUGGUUAGGUAGUGGAUCCGGAUACCCGGAUGAUGAAAGAUUUGAAGACUGGGGAAGUAUUUGGUCCCUCUCAAAGCAUGUCAAAGAAGAAAUCAUUUACGUGGAUUCUAAUACGUUAUAUCAAAUAAAUAAUUUUAAAAUGUACUACUCUAGCGUAUUUUUAUUUUUGAGAUAUAUUUUUUCAAAUAAUCACGUAGUAAAUGCCAUUUAAAAAUUAUUUUAGUUUUAUUAAAGAACCAAUUAUUAUCUAUAUUUAUUUUGGAUGAAAUGUAUAUGAUUCUGUCUAUAACACCAGCUUCCAUUGGAUUCCAUAUCCAUCGUCUUUAUGCUUAAAAGGUAUGUGAUUUUCAUAAUGAACGCUAUCUAUACGAUUUCUAAA